GUGCUUGUUUUGGCAAGUGCAUACACCCAAUUGGAUACAAUACAGAGAGGAUUAGCAUGGCCACUAUGCAAGAGUGACAUGCAAAUUUGUACAUUUAGGGGUAGUUGU
ensembl:snRNA U6 U6 spliceosomal RNA